rnacentral:rRNA from 1 species
UGAAUACGAGACGCUAAGGCGUUGAAGUAGUGUAUGUCAUACUUCCAAGAAAAGCUUGCACUGUCAUAGAUAAAAAACGCCUGUACCAUAACCGACACAGGUGGGUAGGUAGAGUAUACUAAGGGGCGCGAGAUAACUCUCUCUAAGGAACUCGGCAAAAUAACUCCGUAACUUCGGGAGAAGGAGUGCCUUAUUUAUAAGGCUGCAAUAACAAGAUCCAAGCAACUGUUUAUCAAAAACACAGGUCUCCGCUAAGUCGUAAGACGAUGUAUGGGGGCUGACGCCUGCCCAGUGCCAGAAGGUUAAAGAAGUUGGUUAGCAAUAGCGAAGCUGAUAACUGAAGCCCUGGUGAACGGCGGCCGUAACGAUAACGGUCCUAAGGUAGCGAAAUUCCUUGUCGGGUAAGUUCCGACCCGCACGAAAGGCGUAAUGAUUUGGAUACUGUCUCGGAGAGGGGCUCGGUGAAAUAGACUUGUCUGUGAAAAUGCGGACUACCUGCACCAGGACAGAAAGACCCUAUGAAGCUUUACUGUAACUUGAAAUUGAAAUUGGACUUUAUUCGCGCAGUAUAGGUGGGAGGCGUUGAUUGUAAUCUUGCGGGAUUAUUGGAGCCAUCAGUGAGAUACCACCCUUGUAAUGUUAGAUUUCUAACUUUGAAUCAUUAUCUGGUCAAAGAACAGUUUCAGGCGGGCAGUUUGACUGGGGCGGUCGCCUCCUAAACGGUAACGGAGGCGUACAAAGGUUUCCUCUGAACGGUUAGAAAUCGUAUCUAGAGUGUAAAGGCAUAAGGAAGCUUGACUGUGAGACCUACAAGUCGAGCAGGGACGAAAGUCGGUCUUAGUGAUCUGACGGUACUGAGUGGAAAGGCCGUCACUCAACGGAUAAAAGUUACUCUAGGAUAACAGGCUGAUCUCCCCCAAGAGUUCACAUCGACGGGGAGGUUUGGCACCUCGAUGUCGGCUCAUCGCAUCCUGGGGCGGUAGUACGUCCCAAGGGUUGGGCUGUUCGCCCAUGAAAGCGGUACGCGAGCUGGGUUCAGAACGUCGUGAGACAGUUCGGUCCAUAUCCGGUGUAGGCGUUAGAAUAUUGAGAGGAGCCUUCUUUAGUACGAGAGGACCGAGAAGGACAUACCUCUGGUGUACCAGUUAUCGUGCCAACGGUAAACGCUGGGUAGCUAUGUAUGGAGUGGAUAACCGCUGAAAGCAUCUAAGUGGGAAGCCCACCUCAAGAUAAGUAUUCUCA